ACGCUCGACACCUACGGGAGGUAGCAGUCGGGAAUAUUGCGCAAUGGAGGAAACUCUGACGCAGUGACGCCGCGUAUAGGAAGAAGGUUUUCGGAUUGUAAACUAUUGUCGUUAGGGAAGAAAAGGACAGUACCUAAGGAGGAAGCUCCGGCUAACUACGUGCUAGCAGCCGCGGUAAUCUGAGCGGGCUGGCAAGGC
rnacentral:rRNA from 1 species